rnacentral:rRNA from 1 species
CCUACGGGGGGCUGCAGUGGGGAAUAUUGGACAAUGGGGGGAACCCUGAUCCAGCCAUGCCGCGUGUGUGAAGAAGGCCCUCGGGUUGUAAAGCACUUUCAGUGAGGAAGAACGCCUGGUGGUUAAUACCCAUCAGGAAAGACAUCACUCACAGAAGAAGCACCGGCUAACUCCGUGCCAGCAGCCGCGGUAAUACGGAGGGUGUGAGCGUUAAUCGGAAUUACUGGGCGUAAAGCGCGCGUAGGUGGCUUGAUAAGCCGGUUGUGAAAGCCCCGGGCUCAACCUGGGAACGGCAUCCGGAACUGUCAAGCUAGAGUGCAGGAGAGGAAGGUAGAAUUCCCGGUGUAGCGGUGAAAUGCGUAGAGAUCGGGAGGAAUACCAGUGGCGAAGGCGGCCUUCUGGACUGACACUGACACUGAGGUGCGAAAGCGUGGGUAGCAAACAGGAUUAGAUACCCGAGUAGUC